rnacentral:rRNA from 1 species
GAUUGGUGCCUUCGGGAACUGUGAGACAGGUGCUGCAUGGCUGUCGUCAGCUCGUGUUGUGAAACCCGCAAAGAGCGCAACCCUUAUCCUUUGUUGCCAGCGAUUAGGUCGGGAACUCGAAGGAGACUGCCAGUGAUAAACUGGAGGAAGGUGGGGAUGACGGCAAGGCAUCAUGGCCCUGACGACCAGGGCUACAGACAAGCUACAAUGGCGCAGACAAAGAGAAGCGACCUCGCGAGAGCAAGCGGACAUCAUAAAGUGCGUCGUAGUCCGGAUUGGAGUCGGCAACGCGACUCCAUGAAGUCGGAAU